GGACAGAGGGAGCCGGGUGGGCAGGGCCUGGGGAGGCUGCAGGGGCCAGAGGCCAGGGCUCGGCCCGGGGCACCCAGCAGGGCAGGGUGGACCUGUCUCUGCUUCCACGCAGGUGAACACGUUGGUGACCACGAGAGCCUGAAAUCUCCCCUCUGCAGAACGGGGUAGUGCUAUGGCCAUGAAGGAAGCUGGACUUGAGGGCAGCGAGGUGGUGGCCAGCCUAGGGGCUGCCUUUCCUCCCUCCCACAUGGCUGCCAAUCUGCAAGCCCAGGUCCGUUCUGCACAGAGUCGCCUCCCCGGGAUCCACACAGGAAGGCUUUAGUGUGGGAGGGUCUCCGGCUGGUGAGCGAGAGGGGACACCAGGCACCGCGGAGGCACCACAGGUGGCGACGGGCAGAGGGCACUGGUUCCUGGGCCUCCCUGUGAGUGCGAAACAACCGGACACCCCAGCCUCGUCGCCCGGGGGCCCUUGAAGAAGCGUCUGGCUUCAGGAGAGAGAAGGAAGCUGCUCUUGAUCCCAAGAGCCCCAGAGAAGAGGAGCACAGCUUUCUAACAAGAAGAGGACAGGGACCGAGCUGCCUCCCACCCCCCUUCAGAGCCCCCGAGGGCUUCGGGCCCUGGGAGUGAUGGGGUGGAGGACUUCCUGCUGCACCUCGUCUGUCUCUGGCCCUUCCAGGAGCAGCUGCGGCCAGUUUCGUUCUGUCUCGGUUGGGGCCGUGCCCAGGGCCACCUGCAGGGGAACUGGGGCCCUCUAGCUCUGACUGCAUGGCUCCUGGGCAGCUCCAGGCUGAGCUAGGAAAGUCCUGAGUUGCAUGUUCCGCUCAUCCUGUGGGGUAGGAAGGAAAGACUGCAGACAUAAUUAGAAGCGUUUCAGAGCGAGUGGAAAGUUCUCAGGAAACGUAUUAUCAUUGGCGCUGCCGCUGCCUCCCUGGAGAGAGGGGGCGCAUGUGCGUUUCCCCCUGCUUUCCCAGAUGAGCCCUGCUCACACAGAACGCGCGGGCUUCCUGGUGGGACCCAGUCUUCCCGCAGCCUUUCGGGGGGCACCGUCCUGUCCGCCCGGAGGGUGUAGGUGCAGGCACUCCCCCUCGGCACCCCAAGCCUUAGUCUCCCGUCUCCCUGCGGAGGGGCAGGAGGAGGCGCUGCUUGGAGAAACUCCCUGGGUCCUGAGUCUUCCUUUUGGCCAAGGCAGGGCAGAGGCAGGGGGCCCGUGGCUGCGGCAGGGCUCAGACCAGCUGCUGGGUGGAAGGCGGCUUCCCUGCUCCCCGCGCGUGACCUUCAGGAAGGACUUCCUGCGCAGGCCUCGGUUUCUCCAUCUGCAGAGUGGGGACGGGAGGGCCGUCCCCUGGAGCCGCUCCUUCAGAAGGGAGGUUGGUUGUAGGCAGGCGCCGUGUGCAGACCGCCCACCUGAGAGCACACUCCUCCCUCCUCCCUGGGAGCACGGUGUCACACCUGUUCUCCAGGUGGAGCACGGGCCCGUGUCUCCUGCUGGGCUCCAGGGGACGGUCCUCCCCGCCCCCCUUCUCCCAUCCGAUGAGGUCGCUGCCCUUCAACCCAGGUCCUGGUUCCUUCCGGCCGCCAGCCGCAGGCCGAGGUGACAGAUUUCUGGGCUGAUGUGCCAUCCCGACCGUGAGUUGGGCGACAUCCAGGGGCUUGUGUCCUGAGCGCAGACGGGCUGCCUGGGUGGGGACAGUGCUCCAGCAGGCUGUCCCCGGGGUCCAGCAGGAGGUGUUGGGGGGGCGUGCCCUGGGGGCUGCAUCCUCUGGGGCAGAGGAGCUGCAGAGCCCCUGGACCCCCUCCCUGCCCUGCAACGGAGCCAGGGCCUGUGGCCUGCACGCAGGGGCUCUCCUCAGUGUCAGGCAGGGACAGCAGUGGCAGGAACUGGGGGUCAUCGAGCACUUACUCCAAGUUUAAGACUAGUAUUUGCUGUGUUCCACAAACAAUUCACUGAACUUACAGCACAGACAGCAUGUUGGCACCACCAGCGUCUCCAGUGUCCCAGUGAAGAAGUGCCAGGUGCCUUGUCCCAGCUGCUGGGCUGGCCCUGGUGGGAGGCGCCUGGUGUGGCAGCCCCUCGGCCACCUGCUCCCUGCACACGCCCCUGUGUGCAGCGGGUCCCAGGCCAUGUUCCCGGGCAGCACCAGGGUUCACAGUGAGGGCGCAGGGGGCUUAGCACGAGCCGCAGGACGGAGCCCGGGUCAGCGCCAGGCAGCGGCUCUGAGCCGGCCUCCACCACGUGGGGGCUGAUCCGUGAGCCCCCAUCUACCCCGCGACUCCUCAGUUUCCCCACGUGAGGGGAGAAGUGCCGUCUCACAGAGCAGGAGCUGAGAGAAGGCGGGUCACACCAGGCCUCACAAAUGGUAGCACACGGCAGUGGGAAGGCCGCUGGGCCCGUGGUCCUCGCGGCUGGAGACCUGCUACCUCUCUCUUGUCUUCCCUCAUCAAGGAGAAGUGUCCCAGCGCCACUCUGUCGAGGAUGGAGACAGUGACCAGGGCCCAGCUGCAGGAGGACCCUGGGCAGAGCAGGCAGGGGGAGCCAAGCCCGAGCCCCGGGUGCUGGACGGCGAGGUCCCCUGAGUGAAGCCAGAGGUGACCUGGGCUGCUGAGGAUGCCCAGGGAGCACGUGGGGCCUGCCUGACCCGUGGAGGACACAGAGAGAACCGCAUGGCUGCUCCAGGUUGUCCCGCAGGGUGACACGCAGAUGGCCAUACGUGCCAGGAUCCCAGGAUAAAAGGACUUGGGAGGCACCUGCGAGGGGGUUGAGCUAUUCGACGGGGGUGAUUCUAUACCACGCAGAGCCACAGGAGGGAGGAAGAUGCUCCAUUACGUGUGAGGGAUCAGAGAGCGUCCUACUGUCGUGUACGAUUAAUUAAAGAAAUGAGCCAUCGCCAACGUGAAGACUGAUUUGCACAAGUACGUGAUAAAAGGAAACCUAGGGGACAUUUCAGGAAGUGAUUAGAGUGUGGAGGACUUUGAGCAGCCGCGGGGGAACCUCUCCCCACUCUCCCUUCCCCGACAGACUGGGCACUGGCGCCUCCUGUGACCUCCCGGGUGCCUCCUCACAGGCGAGGACUGGCUCCAGGGGGGCCUUGGGGGCCUGGGGAGCGGUCAGCUGUGGGGCACUCAGGUGUCGUUGGAACAGUCCCCACCAGGACCCCCCAUUGCUCUGCCCCACUCUGCAGAAGAGGACACAGAGGGCCAGAGUGGUGGGAGGCCAGCGUGGCCGCCUCGGAGGCUGCUUUGCAGUGGCCCAGAGUUUGACGGGUGGAGGCUGGCGCUGGCCGGUGGCCCAGGCAGCUGUCCUCCGCUGUGGCCUCCUUCAGCGCUGGCUUUGUGCUCCAGAGUCGGGAUGUGGACUCCACGUCUGCUGCCCAGGGGGCCUCAGGGCUGCUUCCUCUGUGACCUCUGCCAUCUGGGCCUUGCUCACGGUGACAGCAGGGCUGAGAGGUGAACUCACGGUGUCCACCUCAGACCUCGCUUGCCGAGCUGCUCCCUGCUGACUGGGGUGGCCACAGCAGACUUGGGCACAGCUGCCAGGAGGCCAGUGUGCCCAGACCCUCUCCACAAAUGGGGAAACCGCAUGCCCCCAGGGCUCCCUGGCGCGUGGGGGUUCCUCCGGGGCCACCCUCACCCGGCCCUGCGGGAGCCGCGGGUCCGGGCACCUGUCGCAGUGCUGAGCCUCUCGUGGUGCCUGGGCAGGCGGAGGCGCCCUGAAUAACCCUCCGGAAGAACGACUCUGUCCUUCUGUUUUCCCAGGAGGCGAGCGCUUCCACGCGGUGGGGACAUGUUGUUUUUGAGCCUGAGCCCUGGACGUCCAUCAAAGAGGGGACAUUGUUUUUCUUAAAAGUGUUUGGCCAGAUCCCUGCAGCAGGAUCUCAGGUGCAGAUUCCGAACUGAGAAGCUGAGACGCUGCACCUCAGUGAUCAUCAAGCCUGGCCCUCUCCUCCCAGGGCCCAGCCUGGCUGUUGCCGCUGGAGGCUGUCCCCCACCCUACCUGCCACCUCCCCCCCGCGCCAGGCUGCCGAUGGCUCUCUUCAGUGGCACGGACUGUCUCGAGCAGGGGCGCUCCAGGAUUUCCAAGUCUCCAACUGAUUUUCAAACUGCAAACAAAAUGCCUUCGCUCUCUGGGCCUCGCCGGACCCCUCCAUUACCCACUCAGAGUCACGUCACAAAAGUAGCUUUAAACAGUUUUCCUUGACUAUUGGACACAUCCCCCCCCCCACAGCGCAGUUCUGCUGCCUGCCCCAGGGCUCCGGGCACCUCUUCACGCCCCCAGUGUGCCUGCCCGUCACUCUGGCACACGUGGGCGUGUUGGUAUUCCUUUUUGCCCCCAGAAAAUGAUGGGGUCAGGAGGAUGAAGAGACUCCCUAGAAAGGAACACGCCGAGCCCCGCCCUGGCCUGGAGUUCCUUUGGCUUGAGGGAAGAGUCCAUUUUCUAGCCUCCCAGGGGCUGCUGGGAACGGCCAGGCUGAUGACCUCCUCUCACUCCCUUUUGCCCGCGGGCAUCAUCCAGCUCCUGACCAUGCCCGUGUCUGAGCUCCACUGAGGCCCUCUGUAUCGUCAUCUCCCCACCUCUUCGGCUCCCCAGAGACUGACAGGCGGGCAGGCUGGGAGGCCCCACAGUAACUCCUGUCCUUAGAGGAAGCGGGAGGCCGGUGCUAUUGCAGGAAGCACCAGCAGGCCACUGUAUCUGGGGCGGUCACUUGUGGGGACAGACUCCCUUCUCUGCUGUGACCUCCCAGACCCUGUGGCCACCAUCUUUCACUGGUCUCACCGCUUGGUCUCUCCCCUCCCACAGUGCUCCCGUCACAGCGACCUGCCUGGGCCUUUGUCCUAGAGACCCGCUCUGUGAUCUGGAGACGCGGGGCAGCGUGCUGGUCACUGACGCCCCUGGCCAGGCCCCCCCUGCACUCUGCUGAGGGACCUUGGGAAGGUUCAUGAAUCUCUGUGCUGGAGCCUUGUCCCCUGGAAUGCGGGGGGCCGUGCAGCCCACUCGGGGAUCAGCACCAGGAUCGGAUGGUCCCUCUGGUGUGGAUCAGGCAAGGUCAGGAGCCUUGGGACUCACCACCGUCUUCCGGUUCUUCUCAGGCCGCUCGCCGUCACGUUAAUCGCUCUCGGGGGAGAGGUGCACCUUGCCCACUUACUGAGCAUGCCCUCGGUGCUUAGCUGAUGCUGGUGGGUGAGUGCACUUUGCGGUGUGCAGAGCCUGCGGUCACUCGCUCUCCACCCUGACUCUGGGUGAGGUCCCGAGGGUCAUGCCGUGUCAGCAUCUGGGAAGGCAGCGCUGUACCCUUUGCCCGUGGCUCAAGACACGUUGGCUCGGGCUCUGCCCUGAGUUGACCCGGCUGUUGAGUCCCUGCCUCAGUCUGGAGAGAACUGUCAGAGCCCCCCCCUCUUUCCCCAGGUACAAACACCCCCCAACCUCUGCCAGUUCUAUUUCUAUUUUAUUGAUGUGACAUUUACAGAAUCUAGAACUAGCCACUUGAGUCGUGGUUGUCCUGAUUUUGUCAAAUUGUUCCUCUGUUUUCCGUGAGGUUUGUUGAUCAUCACAAUGAUGACUCUGAAUUCUGUUGGGGGUUUGUAUAUCUCCGUAUCCUUGGGGGCGGCUCUGGUGAAAGGGACCAGAUGCAGGGACUGCCCGUGUCCUGGGUGGCGGUGGCGCUGUCCCCUGACUUGCACUGAGGUCUGUUCACGUGGAGAGGUGGAGACUCAAUCCAGUUGUUGGAGUUGGGCGUCAUCUGGGAAAAAAUGGUCAAUGAACAUCGAGGCUUUCAGUGUCAUUCAGUUCAUUUACGAUAUCAUCGGCCACGGCCUCCGCGUAGCUCCCAACGUCUUCCCCGCACCAGAAGGGAAGCUCCUCUUGAGAGAAUUAGCAUCUUUUCCCCUCUCUCGGGCCCCUGGGAGCUCUCAGCUCCUUUCUGCCUCUGCAGAUCUGCCUCUUCCAGACUUUUCCCAUCAAUGGAACCUGCGAUCCUUGAUCUUUGGUAUCCACCUGGUGUCUUCGAGGUUCAGCCUCCUGGCAGCAUGUCAGGACUGCAUCCCUUUUGCUGACUGAGUAGCCUUCCACGGCACAGAUAAACCCCCAUUUGGUGUUUCUUCAUUCAUCUGCUGAUGGGCGUUUGAACUGUGACCACCUUUGGGUGCUUCUGAGUAAGCGCUAGGAUCAGGCACCUGGGUACCUCUGCUGGAGUGGAAUCUCUUGGGUGCAUGCCCCAGGGAACUUCUGAGUCAAUGUGACUUGAAGUUUCACUCCUUAGAAAGCCAGGUGGUCUCCCCAGUGGCUGCCCAGGCCACCCCCGAUUCCUCCGGCUUAUGUGUCUCUCCAUGUCACCCACACAUGGCCAGGUCUCACCCUGGCCCCGACUGCUGGGCCUGCUCUUCACUUUGCUCUGAUAGAGGGACCAUGAGUGGACACACCGGGGCUGGCUGCCUGGGGUGGACCCUGGCCUGGCCACUCACCAGUUGAAGGGCACUAGAAAAGUGACCAGCCGUUCCAAGCCUCAACCGCAACCUGUAAAGCGGGUGACCAUUGUGCCCAUUGUCAUGAUGAUUGUGGAAUUGUCACUUUAGAGGUGCCUGGAGCAGGGCUGGAGGAGCUGAGCUGGCACAUGGGAGUGGCACCCCGCCUCAGAGCCAGCAGGAGCGCAGGGGUGCCCGCCGUCCAGCUGGAAGAAAGAGACCCUCGGAGCUUGGCCAGGUGAGUGCCACGGGCGCCGAGAACGGCAGGCCAUGGAGCAGGCCACGGAGCGGGCCACGGAGCGGCUGGGAGCCCCGGGAGAGCACAGCCAGCCUCCUGGAAAGGCUCACGUCACAGCGUCAGCAGCCGAGGGACCGGAGGCAGAGUGCUGGUCACUGACGCCCCAAAGCCACGCUCCUCCCUCCCACCACUGCCCGCAGCUGCACUCUCCCCGGCAGAGAAGGAACCGAGGCUCCCACAAGAGGCACCAGACAUCGGCGGCUCCAGGAUUGGGGCCCGGCUUCGUCUGGCUCCAGAAACCCCCUCUGCACACUCCGAGCUCAUCCUGGGAAACGCCAACACCGUCCCCCGCUUUCCCCGCCAGGGCCUUCCCCCCUGCCCAGGGCCACGGAGGAGCCGGGCGCAUCCUGAUGCCCCUGGACGGCGCGGGCCGUCUGAGCCUCGGCUCCCCAUUUGUUUUUUCCUGAUUGCAAGUAUUUUCAUUUGCUUUGGGUGGAAAAACAAACCUUUUGCUGUUGUGGAUAUUUCAAAGGGACCAUCUGGGCCACAAGAUAUCCGCUGGACACCACACCAGGAACAGCAGGUGGCUCGGAUACAUUGAUUCCUAUCAGGGUUUGACCUCAUUUAUUUUUGAAAAAUAUCUAGCUCCAAACACGGUGCUUUGAAGGUACGAGUGAUAAACGGUCCCGUGGGUCCCACCAGGGCAGGAUCUUGCCAGCCCCAUCUCCUCCUGGCACGGGGACUGGGUCUGGGAUCGGGGCCUCGUCUCUGCACGGAGCCACCAGACACAGCCGGGCAGGGGGGCCCUCAGGUGUGAAGGAGGAGAGUCAAGGUCAGGGUCAGGAGGGGAGUCAGGAGGCGGACAUGGAGGUGAGCUCAGGCCCCGCUCAGCAGCGCCACAGGCCUGGCUUCCACACCAGCUCCCUUGAUGUUCCCAGGGACCCCUGGCCCCAGGAGAGGAGCCACCGCUCCACAGAAGGGGCGGAUGCCCGCACUCACCUGGCAAGACUCCUGGGACCUCGUCCCUGUCCACGGCGGGCAGCUGAGAGCCUCGGUGUGGACAACACCACUCCUGUCUACACACGUUUUCUCCGGAUUCCCAGACAAACCAGUUUCUAGAAGAACGUGGACGAUGUCUCAUCCGUGGCCAAAGCGCUGCUCUCCAUGGGAAGGUGCUGUGCAACAUUUCAGAACUUUCCUAGGGCCAGGGAGACUCGAGGGGCCAGUUCAGACAGGUGACCUGUGCUCCCUGACUCGUUAGACCCACCACGUCUGUCUGACCUGAGCCCCCCGUCUGAUAGUCUAGAUAAUCAGCAGAACUUCCCAAAAUAAGGAGAAGCAGCCUCCGUUUGCAGCCCUACAUGGCACGAGGGGUCUGUCCUCACCCGGGACAUCCCCCAGCCGUCAGCGGGAGCAAAGGGCUGAUGCAGGCCGCACAGAGACGCUUGGUGAAAGGGACCGCCUGUCAUAUGGAUCCAUUUAUACACAGUGUCCGGGACGAGCAAGUCUGAGACGUCGGAGAGAUUAGUGGUUGCAGGCUGGGGGGGAGGAGCUCUGCGUGAGGCCCGAGGGUGCCAAGUCUCUUUUCAGAGUGAUG